rnacentral:rRNA from 1 species
UAGGUGGUUCGUUACGUCGGAUGUGAAAAUCUGGGGCUCAACCCCAGACCUGCAUCCGAUACGGGCGAGCUAGAGUUUGGUAGGGGAGACUGGAAUUCCUGGUGUAGCGGUGGAAUGCGCAGAUAUCAGGAGGAACACCAAUGGCGAAGGCAGGUCUCUGGGCCAAUACUGACACUGAGGAGCGAAAGCGUGGGGAGCGAACAGGAUUAGAUACCCUGGUAGUCCACGCCGUAAACGGUGGGCGCUAGUUGUGGGAACCUUCCACGGUUUCUGCGACGCAGCUAACGCAUUAAGCGCCCCGCCUGGGGAGUACGAUCGCAAGAUUAAAACUCAAAGGAAUUGACGGGGCCCCGCACAAGCAGCGGAGCAUGCGGCUUAAUUCGACGCAACGCGAAGAACCUUACCAAGGCUUGACAUAUACAGGAAUACGGCAGAGAUGUCGUAGCGGUAAAACGUCUGUAUACAGGUGGUGCAUGGCUGUCGUCAGCUCGUGUCGUGAGAUGUUGGGUUAAGUCCCGCAACGAGCGCAACCCUCGUUCUGUGUUGCCAGCAUUUAGUUGGGGACUCACAGGAGACUGCCGGGGUUAACUCGGAGGAAGGUGGGGAUGACGUCAAAUCAUCAUGCCCCUUAUGUCUUGGGCUGCACGCAUGCUACAAUGGCUGGUACAAAGGGCUGCAAUACUGCAAAGUGGAGCGAAUCCCAAAAAGCCAGUCUCAGUUCGGAUUGGGGUCUGCAACUCGACCCCAUGAAGUCGGAGUUGCUAGUAAUCGUAGAUCAGCAACGCUACGGUGAAUACGUUCCCGGGGCUUGUACACACCGCCCGUCACAUCACGAAAGUCGGUGACACCCAAAGUCAGUGGCCCAACCGCAAGGAGGGAGCUGCCAAAGGUGGGAUCGGUGAUGGGAUGAAGUCGAACAAGGUAA